AUGCGAGCGAUUCAAGUAGAUAUUUCUGGGGGAUUUACUUUUACUAUUCAUCUUCUACCGAUUCUCAUCAAGAAAAGCAGAGAAAGAAAUGAACAAAAUGUGGAAAUUUGGUGUUGUUUACCUACCGGAAGAACUGUCCGACGCUUAUUCAACAAUCAUUGUAACGAUAAGAAAUCCGGAGGGCAGAAGUCUGAGUUUAUGAUGAGGAUGCAAAUUUGCAAAUUCGUUGUUGUUACGGAUUUGUUAAAAUACCAGUGA